AGCUCCAAUAGUGUAUAUUAAAGUUGUUGCAGUUAAAAAGCUCGUAGUCGAAUGUAGGGUUAUAAACGCUGAGAUGUCUUUUAGGAGACGAUUUUUGGCGUCAUAACUCUUUUUUACCGACCAAAAUUUGAUUUUAACUAAUCAGAUCGUGGGUGCCGGUAAUGUUUACUGUGAAUAAAUCAGAGUGUUCAUGGCAGGCCGUAUGGGCUUAAAUAUCUCAGCAUGGAAUAAUAGAAUAGGACUUAUGGUUCUAUUUUGUUGGUUUUUGGAGCCGAAGUAAUGAUUAAUAGGAAUAGUUGGGGGCACUCGUACUCCGUUGUCAGAGGUGAAAUUCUUGGAUUUACGGAAGACGAACAACUGCGAAAGCAUCUGCCAAGGAUGUUUUCAUUG
rnacentral:rRNA from 1 species